GCGAACGCUGGCGGCAGGCCUAACACAUGCAAGUCGAACGAACCUUUCGGGGUUAGUGGCGGACGGGUGAGUAACACGUGGGAACGUGCCUUUAGGUUCGGAAUAACUCAGGGAAACUUGUGCUAAUACCGAAUGUGCCCUUCGGGGGAAAGAUUAAUCGCCUUUAGAGCGGCCCGCGUCUGAUUAGCUAGUUGGUUGAGGUAAUGGCUCACCAAGGCGACGAUCAGUAGCUGGUCUGAGAGGAUGAUCAGCCACAUUGGGACUGAGACACGGCCCAAACUCCUACGGGAGGCAGCAGUGGGGAAUCUUGCGCAAUGGGCGAAAGCCUGACGCAGCCAUGCCGCGUGAAUGAUGAAGGUCUUAGGAUUGUAAAAUUCUUUCACCGGGGACGAUAAUGACGGUACCCGGAGAAGAAGCCCCGGCUAACUUCGU
rnacentral:rRNA from 1 species